GUUUACAAGUGUGUGCCUUCACAAGGGGAGAGGCUCCCUUUAUAUAGAAAUUUUCUAGCCUUUACUGUUGAGUCAUAAGAUCUUUACUGUGCCUUCACGCAGACUUUUUACUGUUCAUAAAUAGUAGCUUGUCUGCUUCUUUUUACUGUUGAGGAAUAAUAUGUCUGCCACUGUUGUUUCUUUUUACUGUUGGGGAAUAGUCUGUUUGCCACUUCUGCCUUUUACUAUUCUUAUAUUUAUUCUGACUCUGACUCAGAUGAGGAUGAGGACGAAGAUGAGGUGUCCUUUCUUUUCUUGCCUCUUUUCUUUAAUUUUUCUUUCUUUUCUUUUUGCACCUUUAUUUUCUUUUUAUCCUUUCUUUUCCCUGUUUUACUCUUGAUUUUUACUGGUGGUAGAACUCCAUAACAGUCGUUUUCAUUGCUGUCGCAGUGUGAAGAUGCCUGGUUCUUACUGGAGGAUGACGUCUUGGAUGACGCUGUCGACUCCGAUUCUGAACUUGACUGUUUUUUAGUCUUUCUUCUACUGGAUGUCUUCUUCUGUUUACUGGAUGACUUUUUUGAUGAAGUUUUACUAGAGGACUCUUUACUGAGAUCUUGCUUUAUCUUUUCCUUUUCUCCAUAAGUAAGCUGAUUGUAAAACCAAAUACAAGUUUGAGUAAAAUUGAGCAGUUUGAAGAUGAUAAAGUAUCAUUAAAAUUUAAUAGAAGUGCAAGUAGUAGAUAUACAGGAUCUUCAUCUUCAGUAGUAACAGAAGAUGUAGGCAGAGUUUCAAACCUACCUUCAGUAAUAUAUGCUACAUACAAAGGAAAUGAACCUAAACCAGUAAUCCAGACCAUAGUAAAACUCAGGUUUUCUACAUCAGAUAUUCCAGACAGACACCUUAAAUUGAAAGGAGUAGAUUAUAGUUCUUCAGUUUCUCAAGCAGUUUAUAAUCCGAUAGAAAAUUAUUUAAAUCAGCAGGUUGAGAUAACACCUUCUUCACCAGAAUCACCAUCAGCAUCUGCUAUAACAGAAAACAUAAAUAAUAUAAAUAGAGAAUUAAAUGUUCUUAGUAAGAAAAAAA
rnacentral:lncRNA from 1 species